rnacentral:rRNA from 1 species
CCCAGACUCCUACGGGAGGCAGCAGUGGGGGAUAUUGCACAAUGGGGGGAACCCUGAUGCAGCGACGCCGCGUGGGUGAAGGAGCGUUUCGGCGCGUAAAGCCCUAUCGGCAGGGAAGAAGGAGGACGGUACCUGACUAAGAAGCCCCGGCUAACUACGUGCCAGCAGCCGCGGUAAUACGUAGGGGGCAAGCGUUAUCCGGAUUUACUGGGUGUAAAGGGGGCGCAGACGGCAGCGCAAGCCAGGAGUGAAAGCCCGGGGCCCAACCCCGGGACUGCUCUUGGAACUGCGCGGCUGGAGUGCAGGAGGGGCAGGCGGAAUUCCUGGUGUAGCGGUGAAAUGCGUAGAUAUCAGGAGGAACACCGGUGGCGAAGGCGGCCUGCUGGACUGCGACUGACGUUGAGGCCCGAAAGCGUGGGGAGCAAACAGGAUUAGAUACCCGCGUAUU